UCGAAUUGUCGUCUUCUUAUUCUCUCUCAAAACUAACGAAAAACACGAAUCGACAUGGCUAAGGAGCUUGCAGCUAAGGCCACAGAGGCAUUCGUAGACGACGACUUCGACGUUGCUGUUGACUUAUACUCAAAAGCCAUUGACUUGGAUCCCAACUGCGCUGAGCUCUUGGCCGAUCGUGCUCAGGCCAACCUCAAACUCCAAAACUUCACCGGUAUUACUUCUUCCCUUCUGCGAUAAAUAAAGAAAGAUGGAUACUUUGAUAAUAAGAGAACAUAAAGGAGCGACCUUUAUAUAUCAUAACUGCUUUGAUGAGAUCAAGAUUGAGUCUUUUUGUUUUGUGAUUAGCAUUGAUUGCCUUUUUUUAGAUUGUAUGUUCUUGGGACCUCCGAAUCUCUGGUAUUAUAAACAUCCUUUAAUCCAGUGCUGCUUGUUGUUACUUUGGUUGAUUAUGAUUAUACGGUGAUGAUCUCUGAACUCUUUAAUUGCGUUCGCUCAGAAGAAGAAGAGAAAGAUUUGGUUCAACCAGCAGCAAAAUCUGAUCUUACCCAUGUUGUGCCUCCAGCAUUGGCCAAACCAAAGUUCAGACACGAAUACUACCAAAAGCCAGAAGAAGUUGUGGUCGCUAUUUUCGCUAAAGGGAUACAGAAGCAGAGUGUUAAUAUUGACUUCGGUGAACAAAUUGUAAGCAAUACUACUACACUCUAUUGAAGAAACAGGACAAGGAUGAGAAGCUGGAAGGACACGCUGAAGUGAACAAGUUCUUCCGCGACAUUUAUUCCAUUGCUGAUGAGGAUAUGAGACGUGCCAUGAGCAAAUCCUUUGUUGAAUCGAAUGGGACGGUGCUGUCAACAAGCUGGAAAGAGGUUGGGGCUAAGACAAUCGAGAGCACUCCUCCAGAUGGUAUGGAGCUCAAGAAGUGGGAGAUCUAAUCUCUCAUAUGAUCCUUCCUUUUGAUGCGUUUCUGGAUUUUGUUUAAGACAAAUCUUAAAAACCUGGUCCCUUUUCUUCCUGUAAUGAGGAUCCUAAGGUUUAUUUGCUUCCCUUUCUUCCUGUAAUGAGGAUCCUAAGGUUUCUUUGCUUUUG